rnacentral:tRNA from 1 species
AGCCUAUUAGCUCAAUUGGACGAGCAUUGUGUAUUUAUAUUGCACAAAGGAUGUAGGUUCGAAUCCUACAUAGGCUA